AGUGUCUCGAUUAUUCUGUAUAAUCCUUUCCAAUUUGGAGAUAAUUUUUUCUGAUCCAGAUGCUUUGAAACUUCCAUCUUUCUUAGGAUUAGGUCUCCUGAACGGAAGACCUUCGGCUUAACCUUUGCAUUAUAAUAUUGGACUACUUUUGCCGAUAUGCUGCCAUCCGAACUUGAGCUUGCUGUCAGACUUUCGAAAAUAAAUCUAGAUCAGCUCUCCAACAUUCUGAAUUGCUCGACUCAUUAUACUAUUCAACUCUUAUUGAUGGAAAUCUGAUCUCAAGUGGAAUCAUCAUCUCUAUUCCAUAGGUCAGG
rnacentral:lncRNA from 1 species